rnacentral:misc_RNA from 1 species
AAAGUCGUAACAAGGUUUCCGUAGGUGAACCUGCGGAAGGAUCAUUAAAAGUAUAAAAUACACAUGUCAUCAUGUUGUUAUGUACAUAAACCCAUUCCGAGUACUGUACCUGUUGCUUCCGCGAGGCAGGAUGUCUGUCCCUCCGACGACGAUGCCUGACUGCAUUUACCGAGGAGAGUCUUCGCGGGAGGUAUUCAUCAAACUCUUGUAUUGUCAUGUUCUCUGUCUGAAUGUGUUUAAUGUAAACUUUAAAACUUUCAACAACGGAUCUCUUGGUUCUC